rnacentral:rRNA from 1 species
UCCGUAGGCGGUGCGGCAAGUCGGGGGUGAAAUCUCUGGGCUUAACUCAGAGGCUGCCUCCGAAACUGCCGUGCUCGAGUGCGGGAGAGGCGAGCGGAAUUGCAGGUGUAGCGGUGAAAUGCGUAGAUAUCUGCAGGAACACCCGUGGCGAAAGCGGCUCGCUGGACCGUUACUGACGCUGAGGGACGAAAGCUAGGGGAGCAAACAGGAUUAGAUACCCUGGUAGUCCUAGCCCUAAACGAUCAGGACUUGGGGUGUCCCGCGUCCGCGGGAUGUCCCGGAGCUAACGCGUUAAGUCCUGCGCCUGGGGAGUACGGUCGCAAGACUGAA